UGCCAGCAGCCGCGGUAAGACGGAGGGCGCAAGCGUUGUUCGGAAUUACUGGGCGUAAAGCGCGGGCAGGUGGUUCGUUAAGUCGUCUGUGAAAACCCGGGGCUCAACCCCGUGGAAUGCAGGCGAUACUGGCGAGCUGGAGAUCGGUAGAGGCUAGCGGAAUUCCUGGUGUAGCGGUGGAAUGCGUAGAUAUCAGGAAGAACACCAGUGGCGAAGGCGGCUAGCUGGGCCGAGUCUGACACUCAUCCGCGAAGGCGUGGGUAGCGAACGGGAUUAGAUA
rnacentral:rRNA from 1 species